UAACAUUUUUAGGCACCAAUAACAUUCAAGCUGAGAAUCAAAGUAAGAGCUCAGUCCCAUUUACAAGAGACACACAAAAUACUUAGGAAUAUAUUUAACCAAGGAGGUGAAAGAUCUCUACAAGGAGAACUACUUAACAUUGAUGAAAGAAAUCAUAGAUGACACAAACAAAUGGAAAAACAUCCCAUGCUUAUGGAUUGGAAGAAUCAAUAUUAAAAUGAUCAUAUUACCCAAUGCAAUCUACAGAUUCAACACAAUUCCUAUCAAUUACCCCACUCGAUAAAUUAUGCUGGGAAAAUUGGCCAGCCAUAUGCAGAAAAAUGAAAUUGGACCCCUAUCUCUUAACCAUAUCAUCAGGCAAUAGUUUCAUAAGGAACACACAACCUAGAUCCCUCCCAUGCGUAGUUCACAGUAGGAUUUGCACUCCUAUGAGAAUCUAACGCCUCCACGGAUCUAAGAGGAGGCAGAACUCAGGCCCUAAUACUCACUGCUCACCUCCUGCUGUGCCCCCGCCCAGUUCCUAACAGACCACGGACUGGUAUUGGUCCUCAGCCUGGGUUUGGGGACCCUUAUCGUAAUUGACACUUUACCAUAACACCCUCUUCAUCAUUGGUAGCUUGUAUAACUGUUUUUAGGGGGAAGUCUGUGAGUUUUUCUAUUUUGUUGAUUAACUUUAUUCACUUAGCAAGUAUUCAGUAAGAAUACAAAGAUGAAUAAUCUAAAGAUCCUACCUCAAGUUAUUGUCUAUUAGGAAAGAACA
rnacentral:lncRNA from 1 species